UGUUGGUUUGCAAUUAUCUACUUUUUGACGAGAAGUGUCAUACAAGUUUGGUAUGUCAAAAUGUCUUACUGUUUUUUUUGGCUUUAUUAUUAGGUAUCUAUACUAUCAAACGAGAAGACAUCAUUGUGUGUGUCGCUUCUCUUUCUUCCGCCAAAAAAUAAAUCAUCAUGCCUGUGUGUUCUAUAGGUAACACGCAUAGUCGCAUUCGUCAUCCAUUUUUAGAUUUAUUCAGAUUGAGUUAUUUUGGGAGAAAAACGACAGAAUAGGUGUCCGGAUAUUGUUUCCUUCAUCAGACUGAUUUAUAGUCAUAUAUAAGACAUCCGGUUUUAAACAUGCACAAG
rnacentral:lncRNA from 1 species